ncrna:unclassified sequences L2-Alphaproteobacteria ribosomal protein leader
GGGCACCUCCGGGGGCCUACACCAAUGGCGGAUGCGUCCGCCCAAACAUAGCCCCGGGCAAAAUCCGGGGCACUGCUAACGGAAGACAGAAA